AGGGGUAUAGCUCAGUGGUAGAGUGCAUGCUUAGUGUUCGUGAGGCCCUGGGUUCAAUCCCCAGUACCUCCA
rnacentral:tRNA from 1 species